GACGAACGCUGGCGGCGUGCUUAACACAUGCAAGUCGAACGGAAAGGCCCUGCUUGCAGGGUACUCGAGUGGCGAACGGGUGAGUAACACGUGGGUGAUCUGCCCUGCACUUCGGGAUAAGCCUGGGAAACUGGGUCUAAUACCGGAUAGGAGCAAUUUUAGUGGGGAGGUUGGAAAGGUUUUUUGGGUUAGGAUGAGCUCGCGGCCUAUUAGCUUGGUGGUGGGGUAAUGGCCUACCAAGGCGGCGACGGGUAGCCGGCCUGGGAGGGUGGACGGCCACAUUGAGACUGAGAGACGGCCCAGACUCCUACGGGAGGCAGCAGUGGGGAAUAUUGCACAAUGGGCGCAAGCCUGAUGCAGCGACGCCGCGUGGGGGAUGACGGCCUUCGGGUUGUAAACUCCUUUCGCUAGGGACGAAGCUUUUUGUGACGGUACCUAGAUAAGAAGCACCGGCUAACUACGUG
rnacentral:rRNA from 1 species